GAUGAACGCUGGCGGCGUGCCUAAUACAUGCAAGUAGAACGCUGAAGGAGGAGCUUGCUCUUCUGGAUGAGUUGCGAACGGGUGAGUAACGCGUAGGUAACCUGCCUGGUAGCGGGGGAUAACUAUUGGAAACGAUAGCUAAUACCGCAUGACAACAGUUAUUGCAUGAUAACUGUUUAAAAGGGGCAACUGCUCCACUACCAGAUGGACCUGCGUUGUAUUAGCUAGUUGGUGAGGUAACGGCUCACCAAGGCGACGAUACAUAGCCGACCUGAGAGGGUGAUCGGCCACACUGGGACUGGGAAACGGCCCAGGAUCCUACGGGGGGCAGCAGUAGGGGAUCUUCGGCAAUGGACGGAAGUCUGACCGAGCAACGCCGCGUGAGUGAAGAAGGUUUUCGGAUCGUAAAGCUCUGUUGUAAGGGAAGAACGAGUGUGAGAGUGGAAAGUUCACACUGUGACGGUAUUUUACCAGAAAGGGACGGCUAACUACGUG
rnacentral:rRNA from 1 species